GGACGUCGGCCAAAACCGUAGCCAGCAUUUUAACAUAUGGCUUUGGGGUGCGGAGCCAGAUUGAUGGAUCUGAACCACAUGGGUUUGGUAUAUACCUGUCUUCUGUGCGUUUACCGCAUAUAAGGUGGCUAUAUAUUUCAUUUGGAUUUGAUUUUUAAUUUGGUGACAAUGGUUUUGGGUUUUAUGAAUUUGAUUUGAUGGUUGAUUUGUAUUUUAGUGCUAUGAUGUCCGAGGCAGAUGAUAAUGAAGAAAAGCAUGUAUUACUGUGCCGAGUAAUAUUAGGUAAUGUUGAAAUGGUUGAGGAUGGACCGCUUCCUUCUAGUGUGAAUUUUGACACUGGUGUGGAUAAUAUUGAGAAUCCUACUUGGUAUGUGGUAAAGUGGGCCAAUAUGAACACUCACAUUCUUCCCCAGUGUGUUGUGAGCUACAAGUCUUCCCAUAAUGCAUCAGGUGGAUAUGGUUCUAUUUGAUUGUUUCUACUUUGAAAAUAUCUGUAUUACUUUUUGGAAACUAAUAUUUCCAGUUGUUAUCUGUUAGGACAAAUGAGACCGUUAGCAUUUCUGAAGUGGGUUCCAUAUUCGUCAAAUGCAUUUGUUGUGAAAUUGUUUUCCAAGUUGGAGAUUUUGCUUCCUUCUGAAAAAGUUCAGGAAUUGGAGUCUUGGUGCAAAACAUACAAGGUAAAUAUCAUUACAAUGUAGAAGAAUUUUUUCAAAUUAAUAGUGGCUCACAAGGAUUGCAUUUCAUGCGGUUUAUUACAGGAUGGCAAGCUGCCCAAAGGUACUUUCUUGAAACAGUUACGAACCAUUGUGGGGGAUGAAGUGCUGCUUUCUACAAUUAAUGAGAUUCGUGGUUCUGAAUGAUUUUUUUUUUUUUCAAGUUUUUGUUUCACUUGGAGGCAUUUAGAACAAUUAUUGUCAUGUCAAUCCAUUUGAUACAACCGAGUGUAAAUUUAACAUACAACUAGAAUUAGAGUAAAUGGAAUGACCAUAUGAAACAAAAUGACUUGUCUCCAGUUUUCUUUCUCCACCAUUUAUGUGGCAGCUAUGCUUCAGUUCAAUUGUGAAGUGUUCAGUAUUUUUUUAGCAACUCUGCCUUGUAUAUUGGCUUUAUGUUUUUGGUGUUCCUGUAUCUCUUGAAAUCCAGUGAAGAAAAACAUAAGCUAUAGAAUUGAAGUUGGGUUAUUAAGGUCGCCUCUUUUCACAAUAAUGAAGUUAGAUUAGUAGAGCUUCUUAUCCAUUUGUACAUAUGUGGGACAUUACCCAUUUCUGGACAUUACACAUGAGGUUAGAUUUUAGUGGCAUUCUCUUCAUAAUCCAGAAAAAAAUUUGCUGGCCAAAGGACCAUGGAGAUGUAUCGGCUUUAUGUUUUUUGUUUUUUAGCAGCUAUUUCUUUGAACACUCCUAAACAGAAAAAAAUUUGGAAACCCAUUUCUGUUGAACCUGCAGCAAAAGCUUCUCUUUCAAUUUAUGACAACCAUCCUCUUUUCUCUGUCAUUUUUGGCAAGCACCAGUGCAAGCAACAUCUCCAUCCUGGUUAUCAUUAAGUUAUUGGUGACUGUGAAACUGGCCCUCAGUAAAUAUAACAGGGACAUCAAACCACCAGCGGCUGCUGCUGCUGCUGCACCAUACACUGUCCAUUGGUUAACAUGAGCCGUUUUCCAAUCCUGUUUCAUCUCAAUUAUACAACACUUUGCAGCCCAGUGGUGCCAUUAGCUGUCCCCAGUUGUCACUGCUUGAUUAUAUCAUCCAAGAUAUUAUAUCUAACAGCAUCGCCCUCCAUCUUUAUCUAUUGUCAUACUACAAUCUUAUUUAUUGUUGCACUACAAUCUGCUCACAUUUCUGCUUAUUUGCCAAGGUAUGUUAUUGCACUUCUAAUUUGCUUUUCUAUGCUAUCCUUCAGUUAGUCUUUAUUUGGGGAGGAAUAUUGUGCUGUUUUUUUAGGGUAAUUUGGUUCUUGAUGAUUUCCCAUUUCUUGUUGGAGUCCCAACCAUAAUACUAGUCACAUACCAUUUUCUUUGGAGGUUGUUUAGGAAACAAAAAAAUGGAGAUAUAUUUUGAAAAUUUGGUGGAAAAGUUUCUGCUAAAUAUUGAGAUAUGCUUUGAGAUAUCUAACUUUUUGACACUUUGUUUUCUGUUUAGGCUGUGUUCUAGUUCAUACUCUGGCUGAUUAGCAGGAGUAACUUUUUGUUUUGGAUCCAGGUGCUUUGGUUGUUCUCUUUGGAGGAUCAACUGUUUUGUAGAUCAUCAUAAUUACCAUGAAGAUUGGGCCAAACCUUUGACAUUGGUAAUUCUAGAGCAACUUAAAUGCUGUUUGAUUUCAUUUGAUCAUAUUCAUGCUUUCUUGAAUCUGAUCGUGUUUCCAAAUUUGAUAAGAGUAGUAUUUUUUGAAACCAUGUCUUGUGUUUUGGAUAGAUUUUGGACAUUUUGGUGCCAUAUUUUUAUCGAGUUGGAAUAAAAAGUGGUGUCUUUUCUAUUGUUGUUUUGUUGUGUGUGUGUGUUUUUAAUCUAAUGGGUAUGAUGAAACAGAAGGUUCAUGAAGGACUCAUUUUGAAAAGGAAAAAAUGAUGGUAUGUGCUAAAGCUUUAUCUCCUAGACCACCAUCAUCUUUCCUUAUGCUAGGGCCACCCCAAUCUUGAAGUACAGAAAUGGAAAUAGAAUCAACUAGAUCAAGAAAAUAGUCGUGCUUUCUAUUAAUUACUUCAACAAAACCAAAUUUGAACAUACAUCAAGUAACACCUGAAGGAAGUCCCUUUAGGCAUUCCAACAACCACAAUGGUGACCUGAAUUGCUCUACAAUUAGUCGAAAUAGCUAUAAACAUGUAAAUGAGGAACACACAAAGACUGUUAAUGGCCAUUGUAAUGAUUUCCAUGACUCCAUUUGCUGCAUCUUCAAAACUGGUCAUAUCAUGUUUAAAUUGGACUGUUUCAUCUGAAUUACUUACUUAUAUAUUUAUUUAUUUUUAUAUACAGUGAAGUAUCAAGGAAAUUUGAGUUAGAUCCAAGGAUGAAAAUAUCGGUAAUCAUGGAUAUAUCGGUACUUCGAUUUUACGGAUAUAUCGGAAAUAUAUCGGCUGAUAUUUUGGAAAAAAAUAUCGGUAGACUUAAAAUUGUUAAAAACUCAUAGAAACGUAAGGAAAACCUCAUAAUAAUAUAAUUAAAAUUAUAACGGACAUUUUAAAGUUGUUUUAUUGAAAAAUUUGAUAUACAUAUGAUAUAAUUUGCGAUAUUAGAUGUAAUUAUAUCAUGUCAAUCUAUAAGAAAUGUUAAUUUUGUAAUUGUUCUCAUUAUAAAGUCACAUAAAAUACUUCAUUUAAUUAAAUAUCAAUAAUUUGUACACAUUAAAUUCAUUAAAUAAACAUAUUUCAUAUUCAAAAUAUACUAGUUCAUGUUAAUUAAAUUAAUUAAAUAAUUUAGCUAAGUUAACUAGUUUAAUUUAAUUCUAAAUGUGAAAAUAAAUCACAAAUAAUCAUCUAAAAUAAACAUAUCAAUUUAUAAUUAAAUAAUCAAAUUAACCUAAGUUAAUUUAAUAACAAUAUAAAAAUUAAUUACAAUUGAAUGUAAAAAUAGCAUUAAAUCAUCCAUAUUGCAAACAUACUAAUUAAUUAAAAAUACAUGAAUUAAUUACAAUUGCAAACAAAAUUAAUUACAAUUUAAAACAAAUAUACCUUAAAAUGAUUAAAUAAUUGAGCAACCUUAAUAAAAAUUGGAGAGAGCAAAUGAAGAAUGAAAGCAAAAAUGGAUGAAAUAGAAGAAAUUUGGGCUAUUUAUAGAAGAAAUUUGGCCCAAAAUAGCCGUUGGAACAUUAAUUUACCAUUGAAAAUCAAUUUUGGACAUUGGAUAAAAAACUGGGAGCAAUUUGGUCAUUGGAUCGCCAUAUUACCAUUGGAAUCACAUCUAGGCCAUCGGAUCAACACGGACGUAAUCUGGGCUGUCAGAUCACAUUGCAUGAAGGAAGGGAAAUAUCGCCAAAAAAUCAGCGAUUUGUCUCCGAUAUAUCACCGAUAUUUUGCCACCAUAGGCGAUUUUUUCAAAAAAUUGUCGAUAUAUCUCCUCGAGUCGAUAUAUCGCCGAUAUUUUGGCGAUUUUUGCGGAAAUAUCUCCCCUUCAAUUUUUUUCCACGAAAUAUUGUGUCGACCCCUCCCAAUACACGAUAUAUCCCGACAUUUUCCUCCUCCUUGGUUAGAUCAUAUAAUAGGAUACAAUUUAUUCCAUGAUAUUCAGUUUUCCUAAUAAACUGAUAACCGGUAUCCAAGCAGCUACUGCAACACCUACUGUGCUAAGAGAAGUUUCAAGUUUCAACUUGGUGAUGUUUGAAUCUGUAUUUUUGCUUGUGAUUUGCAAUAUAUCGAGAAGCGUUCUGACAUGGAUAUUGAUUUUCUUUUAUUUAAUGAUUAUUAUGUAGUGAUCUGGCAUUUGGAAAGUGCUUCUGAUGCUCUAGAUUUGAUGGAGAUGAUGUGUGUACUUCAAAUGUUUUUUUAUUAACUUAUAAACUCAACAGCACAACAAAGCCUCAAUCUGGGUAAGUGGAACCUUCUUCAUACAUCCGUGUAGGAAUUUUUUCCAGUUGAAUAAAACUUUAGUUCAAAAUUUUAUGGAUUUCAGAGCGAUGAUGUGCGUGUCUCAGAUGAAUUUUAAACCGAGAAGGAGACCUAUAAAUGAUAUAUCUUUCAACAACUAUGUUGAAUUUUUUUCCCUACCAAUAACUCGAUUUUCAUUUUAGAUCAUCAAUUUUUGCAUUUCAUAUGGAUCAUGUGGGUACAAUGGCCUCACCCAGGCAUUCAUCUGGACAGGAAACCAUGUGGAGCGAGAGUCGCUCAGGUCUUCCGGUUGACCUUGCCCAGACACAGUGCGAGUGCCUGGAGGGGGGCUGACAAAAGCAAGCUCACAUUUGUGAGCAUUACCGUUCCUGAAAAGCGUUUUUGGGAAAGUUAAUGUGCAUACGUUAUUCCAUUAAUACCUAACGGUUGUGCGUGUAAUUGAGGAACUGAAGGGCAGUUGCAAGAGCCUAUAAAAGAGCCGAAGGCAGGACGAAGGGGAUAUUCUGAACUCUGUAUGCAUUAAGUCUUUUUGCAGGAAAGCACUGACUUAACCUUUGGGGAAUCGCCUAGCCUUUUCUGCAAGAUCCAAUAGAUCAUAUGCAAUCUUAAAUUCCCUAGUUAAUUUUUCAUCUUAAAGCUUCCAAAUGAUAAAAUAUCUGGAAUUUGGAAAAGAGCCAUUUGAUUUUGUGACUCCUAUUAGUCAAAUAUUAGAAAAUUUUCUGAAACAAUUGAAUGAAUUAUUUGAUGAUUCCACAAUAUUGCAUCAAACAUAUUAAAUUUUCAGUCAAGUGGAUGAGUUUAAUCAUCUAAUUCCUUUUGUAAUUUUGUUUAUCAUCUACAAUGGUGUUGCUUAGCAUACUUUCAAAUAUUUCUGGGAUCGAUAAUUUCAUAUUGUAAUAAUGCAUAAAACGUAAGAUCUCCUUUUCAAGCACCAUUGCAUGACUUAGGGGUUUCUCAUACUAUAUUUGACAUGUAUUUGUAAUUCUGUGGCUUUCUUUCUGACCUGUUUUCAAGUCGGCUUUUGUCUUAGUAGCUAGUUGGCGACUUGAUGGCAAAGGAUGCUGAAUUGUCAGUCUGGACGGUUGAGUAAUGUAAAUAAAUAAGCAUUUUAAAGCUCGACUGGCGAUGAUUUUGUCUUUCUGGAAUCUGAAUGAGACUGCUAGGAAUGCUGUUGCUCGUCUGCUUGAGGUGGAAGGUAUUGAUGAAACUCCUCUAUUUUUAGACCAUCAAAAUAUGUCUAUUUCAAAUACCCGUACUUCAAGCCUAGACCUUCUUUUGAAAUGCAAUAUUAUAUAUGGUUUUAUUUAAAUUUAUUUUCCUUUUUUUUUUUAUCUGAAAUGCAAACUUAUUGAUUAGUAUUUGUAGUAAGUUAAAAUAUCUUUUCCUUAGAUGAUAUAGCCAAUACGUUUAUUUCUUCUUUUUGAAAAAUUUAUUUCCGUAGAAGUAACCGCUAUGGCUAAUAAUAUUCUAUAAGCAAAUAAUAUUUUAUACGUCAUCAUUUGGAAAAUACUAUUAAGACUACUUUUGUAGAGGAUUAUUAUAUAAAGCUUUUAAUUUUUUUUUAAAUUAAAAUCUUCCUAUAUUUGAAACAAUUUGCUUCAUGAAUUAAAAUAAAUUAUAAAAAAUAGAAAUAUUAAAUAAGUUAAAAUUUAAAGUAAAACAAUAUAGUUGGCUAUAGGAUUUGGACUUUUGAUAUGAUAAAAAAUUUAUAAAAAUAAAUUUUUAAAAUUUUAAUUUUGAAACAAAUGGUAUAAGCAUGUAAAAGAGGAAAAAUUAGAAGAAAGUGACAAAGAAUUAGAAAGGAAGUAAUAGAAAGGAAUUUAGAAAGUUGUAUGUGAUAAAAUAAGUAAAUUGAAGAGAAAAAUACUUUUUUUUUAACAUUAACCAUUAGAAUAAUAAAUGCUAAAAGGUGUAGGAAGAUUCUAUAGAAGUGUUUAUAUUUUAGAGUAUUAAAAGUUUGUUUUUUCAAUUCUCUCUCUAUAUAUAUAUUUAUAAAAAAAAAAAGAAAAAGGGGGAAGUACUUAUAGUGAGUAUAAGUAAGUCAUUUUCCUUAAGAGCUUAUGGAGAACCAAGGGGGAGCCUCACCUGCCCAUUCUAGUGAGAAUUCAGGUGGCUAGGGAGAUAAAUUAGCCGACUGUCGCACUCGAGGUGGAUCCAUUGCAAUUGCCUCAUCUACUGAGCCCUUUCUAAUCUACUACUCUCUUGCACCAUUGCAUUGGCACACUCCAGGUUGUCACUAUACAAUAAUGGGUUGCCUUGCAUUCCAGACCUUACUCAUCCAGUGUUGCAGCCACUUUUGCUGCACUGAUACUACACCCGAGGCACAAUUUGCAAGCCAAUUGCAGCACCCCCAUCAUUCUGCAAUCCUCUCUUUUUUUUUUCCUUAGCCGGAGGAAUUAUAUUCAAAGAAUUUUGAGCUAUAAUUUCCUGGUGUGCACGUAAGACAAGAUUUUUAAGCUGUUGAAUCCUAGAGGUAGGAUGUCACUUCUUUAUUACAUCGAUAAGUAUUAGUUAAUUAAUUCGAUAAGUACCCUCUUCGAUUUAUUUCAUUUUUUAUUUUUAGGUUAGGUUGAAUUUGGUUAUUUAUUAGAUCCUUUAACCAACAGAAGUACUUCAAAUCAUGGAUUAAAAAAUGGGAUUUUAUAAGGGAAAUAUCAUAGUUUGAUUGUUGGUCCGUUAAAAUUUUAAACUGUAGUUUGAACCCAAAUCCCUACCUGCAAAACAAAGAAGUCCAGCUUCACUAGGGCAAGUGUUGCCCUCAUUUAAUAUACUUCAAUCUAUCCACUCAUUUUAUCUUCCGAAGCUUUUCCUUUUUUAAUAAAUGAAUUAAUUUUAAUUAUCAAAUUUUCAAAUAAAUUUAAUUACUUCAUACUUUUUAUUGAAUAUGUUUAUAAUUAAACCAUGACAUAUAAAUAUAAACUUAUAAAUAAAUCAUAAAUGUUUUUAAUAAAAAAUUUAAUUAUAUACGCCUUUUUUGUAAUAUUCAAAUCGCUUAAAAGAAAAAAGUUUAUUUGUUAAACUCUUUACGUAUUAAGCGUCACCUACUGGGAGAUUAAAAGCUGAAAGUGUUUUUAAAAGACACUGGCAAAGGGAGUAAAUGCCAUGAACUUAAACUAAUUGUCACUGUGCAUAUUGAACCAAAGAUGAAUGAAAUAGAGAUGAACAAGCAUAAAAUUUAAUACCCAUCAUUUCUUAAAUUUGGAUGCGCAGAUGAAACAAAUCCGUCAGUCUACGAAAUCCUUUCAUCUUCCAGGAGGGUAGACGGAUCGAUGUAUGAAUAUGGUUCCGUAUGUGUCUUGCUGAAAUCAUGGAUGAAACUCGGGCCAAAGUGCUGCCAAUAGCAAGCCAAAAUUUAAAAGUUUUGACAGUUUAAUUCCGCCAGCAUGCAUCAUCCAGUUAAAAUUUCAAAUUGCAUUCCUAGUAAUCCGUUGAGAGAUUCAAGAAAAAAAGAAUAAAAACUUAACAGAAGCGCAAAACCAAGCUAAUUGGAAGAUGUAUGAGGCAAGAAGGAGCUUACAAGGUAGAGAGCAGAAAAGAAUGCCACGGUUACAACAACAAUCGGCCAAAAUCCAAUGAAGAAAGUCGCUCCGGUUGCUAGCAGCAGUUUAGCCCUGGGAACGAGACCCUGGAUUGAAAAAACCUAGGUGUCAAAUCUCUAAUAUAUGAGCAAGAAAAGCAAGAAAUCACCAUCUUUAAUAAAUUAUUUUUAGCUUCAAAAACGAAAUGAGUUCACCUCAAUUCCUUCGCUGUUCAAUGCCAUGGAACGCUCCCUUUGAUUGGACAAGCUGUUUUCAAUCUCGGUUGACACUAGAUUUGUCUUUGAAAUUCCACUGUCCUCCUCUUCACUGCCGGAAGGCAGUGAGGAGGUCUUCAUGCCUCUUCUCUUCAUUUCCUUAACGAACAACGACUCCGGAGCUUCCUCACCUGCAAUUGGAAUAUCAUAACAGGUUAGGGUUUCCAUAUUUUCUUUCCUCGUCUCCGCAACCGAGCAGACCGUGGACCAGAAGAAACCAUGAGCAGAGUUCAUUACCGUUUCUUUCACUCUUGCCUUCUUCAACUCCGCAACGAACUCGAAACCCACCGGUCAAACACUGACGAUCCCGUAACCUCAAAACCCUUCCUCCGACAGCCAAAGCACUAUAAUCCGGCCAGACAAAGUUCGAAUUCCGACAGAAACCAGAUCGGAACCCUACAGAAGAAUGUAAAGAAACCGCCAUAGCCUUUUUCUUUUUUUGUCAGGUUGCAGAUGGAAGGCAGCAAUGGAAGACAAUCAUUUUGAUGAUUGAGGGAUUGAGGGAUGAUUAAUCGUGAAGUUUACGUAAGUGAGAAUGGACUGUUGAUUCUUGUCUUGGAUGAUUGAGGCGUGUGUUAUUAGUAUUACAAUUAUCGCGGUUGGUUGCAUUCGGAAGAACAAAGUGAGUAGUUGCUUGGCGAUUGGGAUUUGUUUGGAAAGUUUAUAUGCUCUUUUUGUCCACAUUUUUCUUUUAAGCCACCUGUUAGUCACAUCAAGAAGCAAUUGACUAUGAGAUUUUUGGAAACUGAUUGUUGGUGUUGCCGCAUUGAACAUGAAGGCAGGCAUAUGAUAUGUGAAUUUGUAAUUGGUAGCAACUAGCUUGAAGAUCAACUCACUCUACAUCAUUGAAUAUAAGACUAUAAUCCAAUUGAUUAGAUAAACCUUAUAUGUCUUAAAAUAAGCAUAAUUGGAAGGAGGAUUUCCACAAUGGGUCUCAACAACAAAAAAUUCUAAUGUACUAUUGAGGUUUAAACAAAAAGCACAAAAUGUAAAGCAAAUUUUUCUAUUUGAAAACUUCUUAUAAGAGGAGGAAAAUAUAAAAAAAUUUAUAAAGAUUCAUAUCAUUUUAUUUUUCUUUUUAAAAUUUAAGUUGAAAUCUUAAUUGUCAACUAAGGUUUUGUUUUUAAAUUGAAACUGUUCGAUUGAGACUUCAUUUUUUAAUUAAAACUUCAAUUAUCAAUUUAGAUUUUGGUUUAUAUAUUUAAACUUAAGCAUAUAGUAUUAAUUUAAUAAAAAUAAUAAUAAAUAAAUAUUUUAUUUAUCAAUAAAUCAUUAAUCUUAAAAUAAUAAAGCUAUAUAACAUAAAAAUAAGAUAUAAAAUUAUAUAAUUUAUUAAUUUAAGAUAUUUAAUUUAUUAUAAUUUUUAAAUCAUUAAUCUUAAAAUAAUAAAGCUAUAUAACAAAAAAUUUAUCUUUAUCAAAAUAAUAGUAUACUUUUAAAUUUUCAUAUAUAGAAUUUUUAUUAUUUUAAAGCAUAUGUUUAUAAUUUUAUGUAAAAAACAAUAUAUAUAUAUAUAUAUAUAUAUCCCUUCAAUAUAUCAUUUUAAAGCAUAUGUUUCCUCUCAUUGUUAAUGGGUACGGGAGGUGUGAAAAAACCAUGAAUUUAAAAACCGGACCUGCCCAUCACAAUUCCCGUCUGGUCCGAUCAAUUGGCCAGAAAAUAGGUUGAAUGGGCGGUCAGACUGGCGAACUAGAUGAUUCAAUUAAUUUUUUAUAGUAUCAAAACGACGUCAUUUUGAUGCUUCUAACAUCAAAAUGAUGUCGCUUUGAUGCUUUUGACAUCAAAAUGACGUCGUUCUGGAGAAUAUAAAAACUCUUUAACCCCUCCUUCUCCAUCUGAACUUCGGUGAAGAAGUUGUCGCCCCCCAACGCACCGCGACACCCACGCUAGCUCCCACUAGAGGUCUUCCGGUCGUUACACUGCCUGUCCACCCGGUUGCCUCGUUGCAAAACCCGCUGCAACAUGAUAUGGGAUAUGAUUUAAUGUCUUUUAUAUGGAUUUACAUUGAUGGUAUGAGAUAUAAUUUAAUGGUAAAAUUAAAAAUAUUAUAAUUUUAAAUAAUUUUUUUAUUUAAAAAUAAGUUUUUUUAUUUAAAAAUAAGUUUUUUUAUUUAAAAAUAAAUAUUAAAAUUUUAAAUUGUAAAUUAAAAUUAUGAUUUUAAUUUAAAUUUCUAAUUUGAAACUAAUUUUUAAAUAAUAUAUAAAUUAUUAUUUUUAUUUUUAUAAUUAUUUUAGAUUUUAAUAAUUCAUAAAUUGUAUACUUAUGACGUCACCGUUAAUGAAUUAUCAACCAGUAACUUUUUCUAAUCGGUCCAUUACGAAAACAUGGGAAAAAAUAGGCAAACUCUCAAAUGAUGACACUCAAAAAUCGAAAAAAACAAGAGUCAAACACGGAAAGGAGAAUGACGACUGGUGGCUUUCCACUGUUGGCUGCUUCCAUUUCUGGAAUGAUCUGUUUUUGUGCAAGCCUGGGUCUCCGCCCAAAGAAGACCUUCCAACUCGGACGAUUGGGCCGUGAGGGUAUUUGGGCCAGCGACAUUUAUAAUUUGGAUCCAACAGUGAAUGGCCCAUCGUUCCAACGGAUUUCCGGUAGACAACAAUAAAAUAUUUGAAAAUUAUAACUUAUUUAUAAAAUUGUGAAGGAAUAAAGGGAGAUGAAACGAAUAGUUUUCAAGAUAUUUCUACCAUUCCUGAGAAAUAAAAGGGAAAAGAGUGGGCUCAGCACUGAAGAGUCGAAGACUGUAGUUAAGAAAUUAUUGGUCCAUAUAUGAUGGCAAAGAAUGUGCACCGAAUGGACAGAAAGUUCCUCUUCAUUUUAGGGAUAUUGAAGCUACGUCACACCGUAGAAUAAGGUGCUGUGUUUUCAAACGUGGCGCAUUGCCGAUUGCAGCCAUAGCUAUCGCCUGCGCCAUCCCUUUGGUGUCACAAGCACCAAAUCCGCCAAAAAUAGACAAAUCGGGAGUGAAGCCUCAGCCGACAUGUUCAAGUACCCAUAAGUCAACAAUGGGUGUUUUCCAUGGCAUGUGGCAGUGCGACAGCCACCGGGACGAAGGCAACGUCAGCGAUUCACAGACUCCAUUUUUUUUAUGUCUUGGUCUACUCUCAUUCUCAUAACCAAAAAAGAUAACACAUGCAACACAUUUUUGAAUAAAUAUCCGGCCAAACCACAUGGUAGGCCUGCCUCGUUUUGUUUACCCAAAUUACGAGUUCAGGACAAUACUGGAGACCGACCGCCCACUUGGCGAAUGGUAUCAAUCACCAACAGGAGCCAAAAUCAUUCAGAAAGAAACAUAACCAAAAUGAAAUGGAAUACAGCUGGUUGGUAAAGAGGACUUGAAGAGUACAAUUUAUACGUCUUUUUUUCAGAACACAUAUUUCAGUGGAGUAGAAUGGAGGAGGAAAACCGCACAACACUGUACCAAAUUCUCAAAGGGUGAUAUAUUAUUCUAUUUAACCAUGCAAGACUUUGAAUAAACUAACAGGCUCAUGGUCAUAGACGUCGCAUCUCCUCCUCCCUAUUCUACCUUGUACACAAUAGUUUAGGUAGCAUAUGGCCGUUCACAUCACCAUUUAUUAUUAUUAUCUUUAUUUUAUUUCACAAUGAAAUCAAGGUAGUGGAAUUCCAUCACUCUCCACUCAGACUCGUCAGUGGAGUAUGGUCCCCAGAAAAAGCAGAGGAAAACAAAACAUACUGUAGUAAAAAGGGUAACAAUCAUCGCCUGAGUUGACUUCUCACAGUGAAUUGUCCAAAUGCUUGGUUUUUCUAUCUUGUUCUGCUCGGUGUAUAGUAACAACAGCAUAAAGAAUCCCAAGGCUCUUGGUUUAACGACAAACUGCAAUCUGACACAGUAUUGAAAUAUCGUACCAUUGUUCAUUGUUGUGGACCUUUUUGCCAUACCGCUUUUUUCCAGGACAGCGAGAAGUUUGGAUUCAUGCCCUAGAUUACUGGAUUUCAGUAACUGUGGUGUACGUUAAGUCGUAAGUGUUCACUCUGAAGAGGAAAACUACGGAAUUUUCUGCUUUAAUAAUCGGUUUGAUUCAAUGCUCAAUUCAGAUGAUCAAGUGUACCAUUUAAGUCAAGUGAGAGUAGAUUUACCAAAUAUUUCGGAAUUUUUAUUUGAUAUUGCCCAAAAUUAGUUUAAGGUACUAUGUAAAAUUUGUUGUAAAAGGAUUAUAGACAAAAAAAAAUUUGCUUAAUUUAUAUACCACAAUUUUUUAAGUUAAUAAUACCAUUCACAUAACUCUUUGACGAGCCUAAAUCCCCAGUUGCAAAGGGUUUCUUAUCAUUUUUUAACAAACCCAAUGAAAAACUUAGAAAUCUAAGUACUUGAAAUCUUCUCUAUCUUUUUGUGUCGGUGUAAAUACAAGUUCUAUAAUAUAAUAAACUAUUAGUUAUAUUAAAAAAAUAUCUCAAAUUAUAUUUUAAAUAUGUUUACGAAUAAUUAUUAAUUUUAAGGAAUUAUUUUCAAGUUUGACUGAAUGAAAUCAAAGAAUAUCACUUACAAUUGAAUGAAAAAUUGUUACUAGAAAGAGAAUUGAAGUUGAUCUUGCUUGAUUUUAUUUCUCAGAAAUUCUUGUAUAAAUACCUAUUUUUAAAGUGGUAAUAGUUGUGACGGUGUGAUUGAAACAGUAAUAGUUUAUAUCCUUGUAAAAUAGUUUAUAACUUUUUUUAUCCUUGUAAAAUAUUUUAUAACUUUUUUAUUCUCCCUUAACCUCCUCGUAAUUAUAGAGUUUUGAUUGAAUCACACCAAUCCUUUUAUAUUAUAUGUAUGUUGUUUUAUGGUUUUUUAUCUUUUUGUUAUUAUUUUUUGCUUUGUUUUUCUUUGCAAAAAAAUUAUAUAAAAUAUAAAAAUGAAAGUUUAUAAAUAUGAUAAAACAGAUGACUAGAAAGAACUUCUAAUGAUGUACAAUCAUAAGCUAGCUAUAAAUCCUGAACAUAAGUUGCACCUUUGGAUCGCGUUAUUACUCCUUUACGACCAAUUUUAUGGAAGAUGUCAGGAGGAAGGCCAUAUUCUCUUCUCCAAAAUCGAAGUGUGCCUUUCUAUUCCCAAAUAUGCAUCAAAGCGGGUUACAAAAGCCAAGGGUAAUUCACACGCAGAGGAGAGUGCGUGUGGGCUUAGUAUGGCUCCUCCAUCCAACCUUUAAAAAAUGUUACGGGGGUUUAGACCCAAGGACAGUGAGGACCACUAACGUCAAGCCAUGGACCCAUCAUUACAUUUGCAUGAGCAUAUUGCCCUGGAAGUUGGAAAAACCUCCUCAAUCUUUGGUCUCAUCCUUACCCCUAUGUCUCAUCAUUCUUUCCCCAUCACCCUCCCUCCACUAGGCUAAAUACUCCGCAUGGGUUAAAGCAAUCUUCUUUUAUACAUUCUGAGGUGGCCCCAUAUCAUCUCAUGAAUUACGACAUAUGGAAAGCCAACACAGUCGUGAUAAGAAAGAAGUAGAUUAGAUAUGGUAGACUGGUAGUGGCCAUUGGCAUUAUGUAUGCCCAGGCCUCUUUACUACACGAACUCCACAUCCAUGUACGUAUAAAUAUGAAAUUCCCGUGUCCCAUAACAGAUAAGAGGGCUGCUGUUGAGGCGGCCCAUCGCCCAUCGCAGUGGAAUUCUACAAGUCAAUUUUGUGCAUUGCCCACCCACCUACACAACAUGCUACCUUCCCUCCACUUUCUGAUGUAUCCUGGCAUAUUGUAAAGUUCUUCGAUAAUUACAUGAAACUUGUAAGUAAUUUAAAUAUUGCGAUCAAAAUGGUCGUUCGGUUUGGGCACACUGAGAUCCAAUGCCACGUGAAUCUGGCUGGCAACCGCAGAAGAUUAUAUUUCCUAAUAAAAUAGAACCAAUGUGGUGCGGCCUUCAAUGAACGUAAAAAACGUGGAAGCAUAUCCGACGCGCCGGGCCAAAAAGGAAACAUAUCGCAGGCAAUCUUUUUAGAACGAUGUCGAAUCAUUUAAGAAAAAGAAAUGACAACGAUAGCAAUCAAGCCAUUGGUCCGAUUCUGGGUGCCUCAAGGUCACGGCCAUCAAAGAUUGUCAUCAUUUUCUCAAUUUAAAAGAAAAAAAAAACAAUGUUUAUUAUGUGUAGGAUUUUACCUUUUCAAGGAAAUCACAGGGUUUAUUCUGGGAUAUAUCUUAAAUAUUUUAUUUUUCGUGAUAAAAAAUUUCAAAUAUUAAAAAAAUACUUAAUGAAUGUUCUGGCCCAAUUCUUUUGGGCAAGUUCACAGAUUUGUGCCAAAUGGCACAUGCACAGCCAUCCACCUGGGCAAAAAAGGGCAAAGACACGAUUGUACUAGCAAGUAGCACCUACUCAGCAUCAUUGUAAAUCAUUGAGGUUUAAAUACAGAUAUGAGCAAAUCUUAAAAAUUAAAGAUAUUAGCUAAGUCUGAAGGACGUCCAAACUGUCCGGAUAAGGACCAGACACAUGGAGCUCUGGCGAAGAAAACAUUACCAAAUUCCUGAUGAUAAGGUCAUGAGCCUAACAUUAUUUUAUGGUUUUAUGUCUGAAUCUUAUUUUAUGAUGUCUUAAUCCACAGCGAAGAAACUUCAACAAUCAGGGAGGUCUUGUAGACUUGGACAUACUCUGACUGCGUUACGGAAUCUGUCUUCUCUCAUUGGUGAAAUAUGGAAUCAGAAAAAUACAACGUUAAAAAUUCUUAAUUUACUUUGGAGCUGAAAAGGAAAAUGAAAAAGUAUGGAAAAUCUAAUUUUCCUUUUAUUGAUUUUUUUUUCCUUCUGAUAAGAGCACUAAGAUAAUUCAGAAUUAUUUUUUUUUGAAUUUGUUCGAAACAAUGACCGUAGAAAGGAGAGGAUGGGGAUUCCAAGCAGAGCGCGUGCAAACAUUUGGGAAAAUGAAGACGAGGUGUGCGCUUUUGUAUUUUAGCAACUGUGCAGCUAAGCAUCACCAAAUAUUUUAUAUAUAUAUAUAUAUAUAUUAGAUAUGUUAAACAAUAAUUAGAGAGCCCCGUAAGGCCCACAUCCCACAUCGGCACAUCCCCCAUCUCACAUCGCCGAUAACUUCACUGUUUCUCUCUGGAAACCCAUUCACCUGGCCUCUAGCCUAUAUUAACUAUCUCCCAGAUCUUUAGACUAGAAAACAUCAACCCCUCUGUAUAUUCUACGCGUUUGUGUACCCUGCGAAACCCACGCAUUGGCGUGUGGUUUUGAUCCGAGCAAGCAUCUUUCUGCUGGAUUCUUCCUGGCUUUCAGGAUCACGCAACACCUCUGUCUCCAUUGUUGAUUCAAACAUUGUUUCUUUAAAUCUUUGAAAAAGCGAAAAGAAAAAUCUUUAUUCAUUUGCUUUUGAAUUAGGGUUUUGGGACAUGAGGUUGAAUAUGAAUGAGGAGGGGAGGGAGGAGGAGGAGGAGAUGAUUCAGGGACGCUUUUCGAUCGGAGAAGGGGGAGGGUUUCAAAAACCCAUGAAGCUGGUUGUGGUGGGCUAUGCUCUUACCUCCAAGAAGACUAAGAGCUUUUUGCAGCCCAAGCUUGAACGUUUAGCUAGGUAUCGAUUUUUUUUUUUUAUUAUCUACAGAAUCUCUCUGCUAUUUUGUUUGCAAAAUUACCUACAGAAUCUCCCUGUUCUUUUGUUUAAUAAUCGGUUUGGUUGUGCAGAAAAUUUGAGAAAUGAUCGAGUCUUAUGCUUCGACGAAAACCUCCUCUCGUUUCUAAUGAACCUUAUAGCUUUGCCCUGCUGAUUUCAUUUCCCCCCCCACCCUUUUUUUUUUCGCUCUCUUAUUUUUUAUAUUUUAUUUUUUAUUUGGGUUUUCUGCCAAAGGGAGGCUAGAUUUUUAUUUAUUUAUUUUUGGUUUAUUUUUUGUUUUUCCCUUAAAGCGGGGAUCUUUCUGUUUCUGCCCCAUAUAAGCUUUCUCCGUAGGGGAUGAGUUCGGUGUCUUUGACCACAAGAUCACUUCUGAAAAGUUUAGAAUAUUCAAUAUUCAUGAAUAUUAUAUGGUUGAUAUCGUUCUGGGGAAUCAUUUCUUGAUAUGGAGAAUCUUUGGUUCUUUUUUUUUUUGUUGGAAAAUUUGUGAAUUUUGGUUUUAUACGGUUUUAAUAUUGGACUAUUCAAACAAAGAUGUAUCAUUUUCAUUUGGUGCGAAGGAAAAUAGAAGUUCUUGUAAAAUCUCACAACUACCAUUCCAACCCCAAACAGCUAGAACCAGCUAAUAAUUUUUUGUUGAAUUUAACAUAAACUAUCUUUAACUUUGAAAUAUGUAUCCUGCCGCUGGUUAAAUACCCUGAUUUACUCCCUGCUGGUUGUUGUUGUCGGGGUCAGCACCCUAGGUUUGGGUUCAUAGAGCUUGGGCACGGAAGUUUCCACGCUUAUAAACAAAAAAUAAAUAAAUAAAUAAUUGAAAUACGUAUGACCGAAAUAAUUCAGAAACCUUUCUUGCACCGUACAUUAAAGUUUUAUAGAUGUUGUAGUCUUUUCUGGACCCUUUUAUUUAACCAGGAGCUAACUCGAUGAGAUUUCUGUUGAUUUUGCAAUUUUUGUCUGCUUCUUCCCCUCUUCUGUAAUGAAAAUUGUUGUUAUUGUUACUUUUCAUAUUGUAACGUGGAUACUUUUUGAGUAUUGUUUUGUUAAUCACUGUUCAUAACCACAUCUCCUGAUGUUGAUCUUUGUGCACUCAUGUUAUGAAAUGAAUCUAAUUUAAUUCUAUGCUCUCGGGUUAUGAGGUUAAUCUAAUUUAACUAUAUGCAUGUGGCAGGUAUUGGGUUAGCUCAUAAUGUUUUAUUUUCCUAUCCAUUUAUAGAGGGAAAUUGUUUAUAUUUUUUAUAUGAAAAUCUUGGUUUCUUUUAGUGAUUGUCUCUUUCUAAGAAAGACUAAUAAUAAACUAUAUGAGGUUUCAUGUUUUGGGCAUUAGAGUUUUAAUAUACGUUUAGUCUGUCCAUUGUUUACAUUUCCAUUUUUUCUAUUCAUUAACUGGCUAACGUUAUAAAUGCGGUGCAUUGAUGCAGGAAUAAGGGGAUAUCAUUUGUUGCCAUUGAUCAAAAUCGCUCCCUUUCAGAGCAAGGCCCCUUUGAUAUUGUGUUGCAUAAGGUUGGUAAAGAUUUCUCUUUUUCUUAUGCAGUUUCUCUUUAUAAAAAGUAAUGAUGAGUCUCCUCUAGUGGGCUUUUUAUUUUUUAUUUGGCUGGUGAUUACACCUGGGUUUGGUGAUUAUCAAUUAAUCUCUCUUAAAGUCAUUCUGUCAAUUAAUUAUUAUUGCUGUUGUCUGCAUGUUUAUGAGGUAGGUUUUGGUUUAAGGGGAACAUGCUCACCUUUAAUGGAUCUUUCUUUCUUUCCUUUUUGUAUUUUUAAUGCAGCUAUCAGGAAAGGAGUGGCGCCAGAUUCUUGAGGUUGGUCCAUUUAAAACUCUUCAUUAUUCUGCCAAUUAUAAGAAUUUGUUAAUUUUCUAGAACUGAAUGAUUACUAUUAUGCCACAAUGGCGUGACAUGCUACUCAUCUUAUGAUACUAUAUAUUCAUGCUGGCAACCAAACAAAUACUGACAUUGGCUGGUGGGCAACUUGAUUCUAAUAUUUGAAACUCAUUACUCUCUGAUAUAAUUUGCAGAGUGCUUGCUCUUUCCUCCAUCAUGAAUCAUGACCCAAUAAGUGAGGUCGAAGCCUCAAGAUUCCAGCAACUGAAGAUUUUUCGCCUUCCAUGGGCAAUCUAUCUGAUUUAUUCAGGUUUCCUUAAGUAUUAUUUGCAAAGGACUUUUGGAUUUUAUUUUUUUGAGUGGUUCAUUUUCCCUGGCAGUGGCGGAGCCAGCAUGGGCUUAGUCUCAAAUUUUAAAAAUAAAAAUUUUCCUUCUAUUAAUUAAUUAAGAAUUAACAAAAAUAAAAUCCAAAAGUGUAAGUUUGCCCCCCAUAAAAAAAAAUAACUUUGUGUGAGAAAAGGCAGGAUUAGAUAGAGUUAAAAAAAAAAAAAAAAAUAUAUAGAUAAGUCCGGAUGCUAAAUAGAUUUUAUAAACUAUUUGGUUGUUUUCAUUUUGAAGUUUAUUUAAAUCUUUAAAAUUAAUUUUUAUUUAAAUCCCAAUAUACAUCAUAAAAUAAAUUUUAAUAAUUUUUUUUGGUAAUUUUGUACUUGAUAUUUUAUUAAAUAUUCUUUUAUAAGUGGAUUGUCUUUAGUUUGAUUUUGUGAUCUUUUAAGUGUUUAGAUUUUUAGAUUUAAUAAGGUAAAUAGUAAUUUACAAAUAAUGACAUGAUUAUUUUAAUUUCAUUCAAUUGUUCACAUGGAGUAUUUCAUGUUUAAUUUUUAUCAUAGGAGAUUAUAUGGUUUAUAUGAUAUUUUGAAUAAUAGACAAUAAUUGUUACUUUUUAUUACCACUUAUGUUUUAUUUGAAGAGACUUAUGACUCCACCAAAUUUUGAAUCAUUAAAUCACUAAUGUUUUAAUGAUGGUGGAAUAUUUAUAUUUCCAUAUUGUAGAUAACCCAUAAAUAAAAAUUUUAUUACUGUUAAGUGAUUUAUAUUUAAUUAUUUGAAAAAUUCAAAGAAUUUAUUAGUGAAAUUGUUGAUUUUUUUCUAAAUUUUUUGUAGUAAAAACUUGCUAAAUUAUUUAUAUAUAAAAAAAAACAGUGACAUUUCUUGCCAUUUUUUAAAAUGCUUUUGAAAAAAUCUUCGAAUUUUUUAAUAAAAUCUCAAACUUAAAUAUUCUUAAUAAGAAAUUAUUUUACCAAUAUUUUUCACAUUGUUGUUAUUUAAUUUGAUAGAUUGUGUAUUUUUCUUUCCUUUCAUGAUUAAUGUCAAUCAUUGCUUACUUUAUUGAAUGAUGUUAAGACUAUUGUUUGUAAAAUAUCUAUAUAUAUUAUAAUCCACAAAUUUUCUACUUGCCCUUCCUGACCCCUUUUAUGACUUAUCAUCUGGUGGAGAUGAAUUAUCCAAUCCUAGAUACCUUGAUAUCCAGUAUUCUUUUUUUCAGGUUUUUGCUAUGCUUUUUAAAUUAUUCCACAUCAUUUUCUCCUUUUUUGGUUUGCUGGAUGCAUUGACAAGUUGAAUAUUUACACUUCUAUCCUGUGACAGAGUGGAUGAAAAUAUGCAUUUCCUUAGCACAUUUGGUAGGAAUGUAGCUGCAACGUUGUGUCCUAAAGCUAGAUUCAAGUUUAAAAUUUCUGUUAAAUGAAUAUCGUGCUUUUGAAACUUUGAGAACAUAGUGGUGUAUUAAUUUUAUUAAUUGAUUUUUUGGAACUUAUUUGACUACCAUUAAUUUCCUUAGUUCAUGCCAUUUUCUGAGUGAGAGAUGAUGUACUCAAACUCUAUUUAUAACCUUAUAUACCUGUUCGUGAUUUUUUUUUUCCUUAUUUCCAUAACAUUGGCAAACUAUUUAUAAAUAAUGGGUGACUCAGGUUAUUCUAUAAAAGAAAUUAUUUUCUACUUUUUAUGUGCUACAACUUUUGCAAUUAAUCCUAUGUUUGUGGUCAGAUUUCUUGAAGUUAUACGGGCUGCUUUAACUAUUUAGUUACAUGUAUCCGUGCCCCCACCUAAGAAUGUAUUGGCAAUAAGGCAAGGUCCAUUACCCUGAAUUUCCAGGGCAUUUUUACUUCAAAUUCCUCUGGUUGACUGUACAACUGUACUGAGCUUACCAAAUGACUUCCCCAGUUUGAGAAUGCUGAUACACUGAUUCAUCACCACAAUUUACAAGGUCAACCUGCACCACCACAACUGGCAUAUUCUGUCCACAUCCAUACCCAUACCAUUGUAUAGUACAAGCGCAUAAUAAGCCCAAUGUUUCUUCAUUUUAAUCUGAACAAAAGAUUGGGGAUGCAGG
rnacentral:lncRNA from 1 species